UGAUGAAACAUCUCCGGAAUCGCUGCACCGCCUUGAUGAUUCCCUUGAACCCUGUGUGGCUGAUGGCUGCGGCUGGAGC
rnacentral:snoRNA from 1 species